rnacentral:tRNA from 1 species
GAGGGCACUGCUCAGUGGUAGAGUGUGUGCUUAGCAUGCAGGAGGUCCUGGGUUCAAUCCCCAGUACCUCCA